UACGUAGGGUGCGAGCGUUGUCCGGAAUUAUUGGGCGUAAAGAGCUUGUAGGCGGUUUGUCGCGUCUGCCGUGAAAUUUUCGGGGCUCAACCCCGAACUUGCGGUGGGUACGGGCAGACUAGAGUGUGGUAGGGGAGACUGGAAUUCCUGGUGUAGCGGUGAAAUGCGCAGAUAUCAGGAGGAACACCGAUGGCGAAGGCAGGUCUCUGGGCCACUACUGACGCUGAGAAGCGAAAGCAUGGGGGAGCGAACAGG
rnacentral:rRNA from 1 species